rnacentral:rRNA from 1 species
GACGAACGCUGGCGGCGUGCCUAAUACAUGCAAGUCGAACGAGUGGCGGACGGGUGAGUAACACGUGGGCACCUACCCAUCAGAGGGUGAUAACACUUGGUAACCGGUGCUAAUACCGCAUACUGAUGGAUGGACUCGCUGUUCAUUAGCUAGUUGGUGAGGUCAAGGCUCACCUAGGCGACGAUCUCUAGCUGGUCUGGGAGGAUGAUCAGCCACACUGGGACUGAGACAAGGCCCAGACUCCUACGGGAGGCAGCAGUGGGGAAUAUUGCACAAUGGGCGCAAGCCUGAUGCAGCCAUGCCGCGUGUAUGAAGAAGGCCUUAGGGUUGUAAAGUACUUUCAGCGGGGAGGCGUUACCCGCAGAAGAAGCACCGGCUAACUCCGUGCCAGCAGCCGCGGUAAUUC